rnacentral:piRNA from 1 species
UUACAUUUUCUGGAAAAUUUG